rnacentral:rRNA from 1 species
GACAGAGGGUGCAAACGUUGUUCGGAAUUACUGGGCGUAAAGGGCGCGUAGGCGGUCUGGUCAGUCCGUUGUGAAAUCCCCCGGCUCAACUGGGGAACUGCACGGGAAACAGCAGGGCUUGAGUUCGGGAGAGGGAAGCGGAAUUCCGGGUGUAGCGGUGAAAUGCGUAGAUAUCGGGAGGAACACCAGUGGCGAAGGCGACUACCUGGCCCAUUCUUGACGCUGAGGCGCGAAAGCUAGGGGAGCGAACGGG